AACGCGAAGAACCUUACCCAGGCUCGAAAUGUAGAGGACGAUAUCAGAGAUGAUAUUUUCCGCAAGGACUUUUAUAUAGGUGCUGCAUGGCUGUCGUCAGCUCGUGCCGUGAGGUGUUGGGUUAAGUCCCGCAACGAGCGCAACCCUUAUCAUUAGUUGCCAACACGCGAGGUGGGGACUCUAAUGAGACUGCCUGGGUUAACCAGGAGGAAGGUGAGGAUGAUGUCAAGUCCGCAUGGCCUUUAUGUCUGGGGCUACACACGUGCUACAAUGGUCGGUACAGAAGGCAGCAAGACCGCAAGGUGGAGCAAAUCCGUAAAGCCGAUCACAGUUCAGAUUGUAGUCUGCAACUCGACUACAUGAAGUUGGAAUUGCUAGUAAUGACGUGUCAGCAACAACGUCGUGAAUACGUUCCCGGGCCUUGUACACACCGCUCGCGA
rnacentral:rRNA from 1 species